GUUCUCGUCUCUCGUUUUCUGUAGAUAUAAGCGCCUACUUUGCUCGGUUGAUCUUUCAAAGGAUUUCUUCUUCAGCUACUCUUACAACAUCAUGCGCAGCCUUCAGAAGAACGUAACUGAGAAGAAUACUGGACAGGUUGUUUAUGAAACAAUGUUUGUAUGGAAUGAAUUUCUGACACGAGCAAUUCGGAAUCAUCUCAAGAAUACCAGUUGGACUGUUGCCUUAGUCCAUGGAUUUUUUAAACAGUACUGUCUAUUCAUCAUCGAAGACCACAAGUAGGGCUGCUGCUAACUCAAUGCCACCCAACUAACUUAGGCGUUUCACUCCACGUCUCAUGACCUGAUAUAUAGUGAAAGCUUGAAUAAAGGGUUUGCGAAGGCAUGGCUUUGUAUAACCUGCUGACAUUUUUCAGUUUGAGCUGCUUGAGGCUUUCCUGAGUCGAACAUUUGCUCCAAGUAAGUGUUGGGCACUAGAUCGGGGGCAAUGGAGGCCAGGACGAAGCUCUAGCAGGCUAU